AAUUUAUGUGAUUUACUUCCAGAUUUAUUUUUUGACAUUUGAGGUUAUGUCAUUGUGAAUUGUAAGCGGCUUCUUCACGUUUGAAUUGAUGAUUUUCGUAAAAUGAAUAACUAUAUCGGUUAUUACUACAUUUCAAUCAGCAAAUAAUCCUUUUUGGAAGCUUUAAUGAAGAUUUAUUUUUUGACAUUUGAGGUUAUGUCAUUGUGAAUUGUAAGCGGCUCCUUCACGUUUGAAUUGAUGAUUUUCUUAAAAUGAAUAACUUUAUAUGGGUUAUUACUACAUUUCAAUCAGCAAAUAAUCCUUUUUGGAAGCUUUAAUGCAGAUUUAUUUUUUGACAUUUGAGGUUAUGUCAUUGUGAAUUAUAAGCGGCUUCUUCACGUUUGAAUUGAUGAUUUUCUUAAAAUGAAUAACUUUGAUGUGUUAUUAUUACAUUACAAUCAACAAAUAAUCCUUUUUGGAUGCUUUAAUGAAGGUAAAUAAAAAUUUUUGCUUAAAACUUUAUUUAUCUGAUUUAUUUUCAGAUUUAUUUUUUGACAUUUGAGGUUAUGUCAUUAUUGUGAACUGCCAAAAUGUUUGAAUUGAUGGGUUACAAACACUAAAAAAUCUUCAAUUGCUGUUGUAAUGAAGGUAGGUUAAAGUUUUUCCUUUUAUCUUUCGAUUAAAUUAAUAAUUUUAAAAUUAA